rnacentral:rRNA from 1 species
GAUGAACGCUAGCGGCAGGCUUAAUACAUGCAAGUCGAGGGGCAGCAUGAAUGUAGCAAUACAUUUGAUGGCGACCGGCAAACGGGUGCGGAACACGUACACAACCUUCCUAUAAGUGGGGGAUAGCCCAGAGAAAUUUGGAUUAAUACCCCGUAACAUAAUGAUGUGGCAUCACAUUAUUAUUAUAGCUACGGCGCUUGUUGAUGGGUGUGCGGCUGAUUAGAUAGUUGGCGGGGUAACGGCCCACCAAGUCUACGAUCAGUAGCUGAUGUGAGAGCAUGAUCAGCCACACGGGCACUGAGACACGGGCCCGACUCCUACGGGAGGCAGCAGUAAGGAAUAUUGGUCAAUGGACGCAAGUCUGAACCAGCCAUGCCGCGUGAAGGAUUAAGGUCCUCUGGAUAGUAAACUUCUUUUAUCUGGGACGAAAAAAGGCUAUUCUUAGUCACUUGACGGUACCAGAUGAAUAAGCACCGGCUAACUCCGUGCCAGCCGCCGCGGUAACAC